rnacentral:rRNA from 1 species
AAUGAACGUUGGCGGCGUGGAUUAGGCAUGCAAGUCGAGCGCGAACCCCGCAAGGGGGGAGAGCGGCAAACGGGGUAGUAACGGGUAGGUGACGUACCCUCGGGUUGGGGAUAGCCACGGGAAACUGUGGGUAAUACCCAAUAAUCUCUGCACACGUGAUGGUGUGUGGAGCAAAGGUGUGAUUCCACCGGAGGAGCGGCCUGCCUCGUAUUAGCUAGUUGGUGAGGUAACGGCUCACCAAGGCAUCGAUGCGUAGGGGGUGUGAGAGCAUGACCCCCACCACUGGGACUGAGAUACUGCCCAGACACCUACGGGUGGCUGCAGUCGAGAAUCUUCGGCAAUGGGCGCAAGCCUGACCGAGCGACGCCGCGUGUGGGAUGAAGGCCCUUGGGUUGUAAACCACUGUCAGAGGGGAUGAAGUGCCAGCCAGCAAUCUGGUUGGUUUGACAUAGCCUCAGAGGAAGCACGGGCUAAGUUCGUGCCAGCAGCCGCAGUAAGAC